ACCCCCCUCCUUCCAGCCUGAUAUUGACUAAGCAACAAGCAAGGAGAGACUUUUCAAAGAUAAGCGACUUAUCUUUGCCCCGUCCUUCUCUUCUAUUGAUUUUUGCUGCAGGGCGCAGAAUGGGAAUUGAAUUAACCUUCGCGCUACGAAGAAGCAGGAACAGGAAGGGCAAUGAAAAGCAAUCGGAGCGGCCAAUGGGAGAAUCAAGUUCCCUAAAAUGUGUCUUAUUCCUCCCAUGCGAUCCAUCGCUACCCCAGCCCAGCGAGCCCACUCGAACGGAACAGCCCCUAGAACUUGCUGAGUUUGCGGGACGUUAAAGUGUGUAGCCUGAAAGUGGUUGGAUUUAGAAAUGACCAAAUAAACCUGGCUUCAACUUGAGAACAUAGGAAUGGCUGCUUCUGACCUGCUGCUUUAGGAAAUAGAUAUCAUUCGAUAUUCUGCUAAGGGAGAACAGUUAAUCCAGCAAAUGCCCUAAGCAAUGGGAAAGAAUUAAAGCGGAUUAGACACUUGCCAGAAAAAGAAGAAGCUUGAAAGAGGUUUUAACAGAUAAUUUAUAAAGAGCUUGUGAAAAAUAUCUCCCUCCUGAUAUAGAAAAUGCUUGUUUUAUCAAUACAAAUACGUCUUAUCAGUACAAAUACCUCAACGCAUGAAAGGAUAAAAAAGCAAGACCGAAACAAUGAAAGCUGUAAUUUUGAUUUGGACUGGAAUGUAAGACUCACAUUGAAAAAAAUGCAGUGUAUGUGACAAUAAAAGUACUGGAAGAACUACAUUUAAUGAAAGGUGAAUUCCUUUACCUUUUUCUUGAGCUACCGUGUUUCCCCGAAAAUACGACAUGUCCUCAUAAUACAGCCAUGCCACAUUUUUCUGG